CCUAAUACAUGCAAGUCGAGCGAACAGAGAAGGAGCUUGCUCCUUCGACGUUAGCGGCGGACGGGUGAGUAACACGUGGGCAACCUACCUUAUAGUUUGGGAUAACUCCGGGAAACCGGGGCUAAUACCGAAUAAUCUGUUUCACCUCAUGGUGAAACACUGAAAGACGGUUUCGGCUGUCGCUAUAGGAUGGGCCCGCGGCGCAUUAGCUAGUUGGUGAGGUAACGGCUCACCAAGGCGACGAUGCGUAGCCGACCUGAGAGGGUGAUCGGCCACACUGGGACUGAGACACGGCCCAGACUCCUACGGGAGGCAGCAGUAGGGAAUCUUCCACAAUGGGCGAAAGCCUGAUGGAGCAACGCCGCGUGAGUGAAGAAGGAUUUCGGUUCGUAAAACUCUGUUGUAAGGGAAGAACAAGUACAGUAGUAACUGGCUGUACCUUGACGGUACCUUAUUAGAAAGCCACGGCUAACUACGUGCCAGCAGCCGCGGUAAUACGUAGGUGGCAAGCGUUGUCCGGAAUUAUUGGGCGUAAAGCGCGCGCAGGUGGUUUCUUAAGUCUGAUGUGAAAGCCCACGGCUCAACCGUGGAGGGUCAUUGGAAACUGGGAGACUUGAGUGCAGAAGAGGAUAGUGGAAUUCCAAGUGUAGCGGUGAAAUGCGUAGAGAUUUGGAGGAACACCAGUG
rnacentral:rRNA from 1 species